rnacentral:rRNA from 1 species
CCUACGGGAGGCUGCAGUGAGGAAUAUUGGUCAAUGGGCGGGAGCCUGAACCAGCCAAGUCGCGUGAGGGAAGACGGUCCUAUGGAUUGUAAACCUCUUUAGGCGGGGAGCAAUGCCGGGCACGCGUGCCCGGAGGGAGAGUACCCGCAGAAUAAGCAUCGGCUAACUCCGUGCCAGCAGCCGCGGUAAUACGGAGGAUGCGAGCGUUAUCCGGAUUUAUUGGGUUAAAAGGGUGCGUAGGCGGAUUUUUAAGUCAGCGGGAAAAUGGCCGGGCUCAACCCGGGCCGGCCGUUGAAACUGGGGAUCUUGAGUGGGCGAGAAGUAUGCGGAAUGCGUGGUGUAGCGGUGAAAUGCAUAGAUAUCACGCAGAACUCCGAUUGCGAAGGCAGCAUACCGGCGCCCGACUGACGCUGAGGCACGAAAGCGUGGGGAUCGAACAGGAUUAGAUACCCCAGUAGUC